UACGUAGGGCGCAAGCGUUGUCCGGAAUUAUUGGGCGUAAAGAGCUCGUAGGCGGCCUGUUGCGUCCGCUGUGAAAUCCCGGGGCUCAACCCCGGGCCUGCAGUGGAUACGGGCUGGCUAGAGGCAGGCAGGGGGAGAACGGAAUUCCUGGUGUAGCGGUGAAAUGCGCAGAUAUCAGGAGGAACACCGGUGGCGAAGGCGGUUCUCUGGGCCUGUACUGACGCUGAGGAGCGAAAGCGUGGGGAGCAAACAGG
rnacentral:rRNA from 1 species